rnacentral:rRNA from 1 species
CCUACGGGUGGCAGCAGUGAGGAAUAUUGGUCAAUGGGCGAGAGCCUGAACCAGCCAAGUAGCGUGAAGGAUGACUGCCCUACGGGUUGUAAACUUCUUUUAUAAAGGAAUAAAGUGAGGCACGUGUGCCUGUUUGUAUGUACUUUAUGAAUACGGCUCGGCUAACUCCGUGCCAGCAGCCGCGGUAAUACGGAGGAUCCGAGCGUUAACCGGAUUUAUUGGGUUUAAAGGGAGCGUAGAUGGGUUGUUAAGUCAGUUGUGAAAGUUUGCGGCUCAACCGUAAAAUUGCAAUUGAUACUGGCAGUCUUGAGUACAGUUGAGGUAGGCGGAAUUCGUGGUGUAGCGGUGGAAUGCGUAGAUAUCACGAAGAACUCCGAUUGCGAAGGCAGCUUACUAAACUGCCACUGACAUUGAUGCUCGAAAGUGUGCGUAGCAAACAGGAUUAGAUACCCUAGUAGUC